UACGAAGGGGGCUAGCGUUGCUCGGAAUCACUGGGCGUAAAGCGCACGUAGGCGGACUCUUAAGUCGGGGGUGAAAUCCUGGAGCUCAACUCCAGAACUGCCUUCGAUACUGGCGAGCUCGAGUUCGGGAGAGGUGAGUGGAACUGCGAGUGUAGAGGUGAAAUUCGUAGAUAUUCGCAAGAACACCAGUGGCAAGGCGGCUCACUAGGCCCGAUACGUGACGCUGAG
rnacentral:rRNA from 1 species